ACUCCUACGGGAGGCAGCAGUGGGAAUAUUGCACAAUGGGGAAGCCAUCGAUGCAGCCAUGCCGCGCUGUGUGAAGAAGGCCAAUUCGGGGCUUUGGUUAAAGACACUUUUCAGUAGGGAGGAAGGUAGUGUAGUUAACACCUGCAUUAUUUGACGUUACCUACAGAAGAAGCACCGGCUAACUCCGUGCCAGCAGCCGCGGUAAUACGGAGGGUGCGAGCGUUAAUCGGAAUUACUGGGCGUAAAGCGCAUGCAGGCGGCCUGUUAAGUCAGAUGUGAAAGCCCGGG
rnacentral:rRNA from 1 species